rnacentral:sRNA from 1 species
AAGAGGAAAUACAAUCUACUUAAUCCGAAAGUAAACCCGUAAAACUAUCAGGUUAUAGGUGUUUUUAGGAUUAACCUCACGCCGGGGAAUUAAGCUAUUUACGGGGCAAGGGGAAUUAUCUUAUUUAAAUAAAUAAGCCGACCAUAAGGCCGGCUUAUAUUUAAUUC